GAUGAACGCUAGCUACAGGCUUAACACAUGCAAGUCGAGGGGCAGCAUGGUCUUAGCUUGCUAAGGCCGAUGGCGACCGGCGCACGGGUGAGUAACACGUAUCCAACCUGCCGUCUACUCUUGGACAGCCUUCUGAAAGGAAGAUUAAUACAAGAUGGCAUCAUGAGUUCACAUGUUCACAUGAUUAAAGGUAUUCCGGUAGACGAUGGGGAUGCGUUCCAUUAGAUAGUAGGCGUGGUAACGGCCCACCUAGUCUGCGAUGGAGAGGGGUUCGGAGAGGAAGGUACACGGCAUUGGAACUGAGACACGGACCAAACUGGUACGGGAGGGAGCAGAGAGGAAUAUAAGGCAAUGGGGGAGAGCCUGGACCAGCCGAGUAGCGUGAAGGAGGACUGCGCUAUGGGAGGUAAGCUUCUUUUAGAGAGGAAAAGAGUCGGGUAUGUGGACCCGUUUGAAGGUACUUUAUGAAUAAGCAUCGGCUAACUCCGUG
rnacentral:rRNA from 1 species